CCUCCCUCCGGCGACCUAUGGACGCGUGCCCACAGAGAGGGCUCGGCGUGCCACCUGUGGCACAUGUGCCAUAGGUUCGCCAUCACUGCUCUAGUGGCUGUCUGGUAGACAGCUACAAGAGGUAGAGUUAACCUUCAAAGGUAACUAUUACAGUUUAUUAAAAACUGCAAUAAUUUCUGUUGCAGGGUUAAGGGACCUGGGACACUGCACCCAGACCACUUUAACCCCUUAAGGAC